GUUCAAAUCUGAAAGUGGUUUACCAGACUCUCAGGAUCUAGAGCGCUGUUAUGGUUGCUGGUUGCUCGAAAUCUCAGGAGGUUGCACGGCAUUCCUACCGGCUCCAAGUGGAAAAUAGAAAAAACAUGUCUUGGCAGUAGGAGGCUGUACUGCAAUCACACUGCUCUGCUUCAUGAGCCUCACACGCUCCUGUUCAUCUCAAACUGCUGUAGUAAAUCAGGAGGAACCUCACUGACAUCCGUGGCAUCAGCACAGAAGCAACGAGAGCCACAUCCAGAGUAGCAGGUGCUGACUCUGCAGGCGGACCUGGGGAGAGGCUGGAGGCAGGGAGUGCUGUGGCUGCACGGGGAAACCACGCCAGGGUCACGGAUGGAUCCCGGCUCCAGGACCGGCCCCAAAGCGCCAGGGCUGCGGGACGUGCGGGGCUGCGGCAGGAGGACCAGCAGGAGAGGAGGGGAGAGCGCCGGGCUCCCACCUCUGCUUCCUCCCACCUCGGCCUUCCUCCCACCUCUGCCUUCUCCCACCUCUGCUUCCUCCCACCUCUGCUUCCUCCCACCUCUGCUUCCUCCCACCUCUGCUUCCUCCCACCUCGGCCUUCCUCCCACCUCUGCCUUCCUCCCACCUCUGCUUCCUCCCACCUCGGCCUUCCUCCCACCUCUGCUUCCUCCCACCUCUGCUUCCUCCCACCUCUGCUUCCUCCCACCUCUGCCUUCCUCCCACCUCUGCCUUCCUCCCACCUUUGCUUCCUCCCACUCUGCUUCCUCCCACCUCUGCUUCCUCCCACCUCUGCUUCCUCCUCGACCUCUUCCUCCUUGUUCUCUUCCUGCUGCUCAGAGCAAGCUGCUGAGUCAGAGCAGCGAGAGCAGGAAAUUCUCUGUUCGGAGGGUGAGAUCAGAGUGUUGUUCCUGAUAAGCAAAAGCAAUUUAUUUUGCUUUGCUGGCCAUUUCAGUGCGGCCAGCGGCUGGGCAGCGUGCUCGGUGGUCACCGUGCUAACAGGCCGCUUGUUUUCCUCACACCAUCACGGAGAGCACGGAUUGCAAAUGCAAUUGCACUGGUUUCACAAAUGAAGUAUUGCAUGUACUGCAAUGAAAUGUGUGUUG